rnacentral:rRNA from 1 species
UGAGUGGCGGACGGGUGAGUAACGCGUGGGCAACCUGGCCUGUACAGGGGGAUAACACUUAGAAAUAGGUGCUAAUACCGCAUAACGGGAGAAGCCGCAUGGCUUUUUCCUGAAAACUCCGGUGGUACAGGAUGGGCCCGCGUCUGAUUAGCUUGUUGGCGGGGUAACGGCCCACCAAGGCGACGAUCAGUAGCCGGCCUGAGAGGGUGGACGGCCACAUUGGGACUGAGACACGGCCCAAACUCCUACGGAAGGCAGCAG